UACGGAGGGUGCAAGCAUUAAUCGGAUUUAUUGGGCGUAAAGGGCGCGUAGGCGGUCUUGCAAGUCAGAUGUGAAAUUUCGGGGCUCAACCCCGGAGCUGCAUUUGAAACUACAGGACUAGAGGGUAGUCGGAGAAAACGGAAUUCCACAAGUAGCGGUGAAAUGCGUAGAUAUGUGGAAGAACACCGGUGGCGAAGGCGGUUUUCUAGAUUAUUCCUGACGCUAAAGCGCGAAAGCAAGGGGAUCAAACAGG
rnacentral:rRNA from 2 species